UUUUUAUAUCUUGGGCUCAUAUUUUUCUGAAGUUGAAUUUUCUUGCUGAUAUUUUAGUUGCUUUGGUCACAUUAUUCAUGAUGCUAUAUUUGGAUAGGUCUUUAUUCACUAUUACUAUAAAUAUUUUUUAUUCGAUUGUGCUAGAUGCAGUUGUGACUGAAGGUUUUUCUCAUUGAAUAAAUUUAGAAACGAUUUUAUUCACACACUUAUUUUUAAAUGUAACACCUUAUUUU
rnacentral:lncRNA from 1 species